rnacentral:lncRNA from 1 species
GUUGUAUAAUUUGUACAUUUGCGUAAUAUUUUAUAGAACUUUUUACGAUUUUCAGGACACUUUCACAUAUGUCGCCUCAUUUAUUCUUUACGAAAAGUGCUUACCACACUGACUCAAAAAUAGUUAUGAUUUUGUUUGUUGAACCUGGGUUACGAGUAAGGCUCCAGGCAGCAGAGUGUGAAAGGUGUCAGACAUCGCAGAUUUGGUUACUGUGGGUGCACCGUCAGCAGGAAGCCCGUGGACGGGAUGAUGAAAACAAAUUGAUGGAAGUUGCAGGGGCCAUGAAAGUUGAAAAAGAGGCUUUCUCUAAGUUUUUCAGGGUCCUUCCCAAAGCACUGGUAUCACAAAUGGGAUCAGCAUAUGGCUCCCAGGCUGUCUACUUUGAAGGAAGUUGACUAUACAAUUUCUUCUGUGUUUCUUCUACGUUUAUUUUAACAAAUCAACUUACGAUUACAUUUUGUGUGGUAGAACCCGAGGCCUGGCAAUCUUUCAGAUGCAGAAUGCCAAAAGAUGAAUCUGGAGGCUACCAGAAGGCUGAAGAGGUUGGCUAGAAUAAAGCCUCUGCUGGAAGGUGCUGAAAGGAAUUCUUGUCUGGAGACCCUAACAAGAGAAGGAAGAGAUCUUCGCUAAAAUCUGAGGCUCCCAAGGAAUGACAUUAGAGUGCCUCCAUGACAGGGCUGUGGGGACACGAUGUUUGCAGAGCUUUGUUUGAUUUGGAAUUUUAAAGCUCAGUAAGGAAUUAAGAUUGCUGGUGGCUUGCCUUUCACACUAAUUUAUUUGGAGGGAAAAAAAAGUCUGCAGAUGAUUCUAUCUGCGUAACAAAAAAAGUCUUCAAAACAGCUCCCUUGUCGCCAGCAUCAACAGCAGCUGAACAGGGCUGGGCUCUUGCAUAGUGAGAAUUAUUCCUUUCAUUUCAAACAAAUCAAAGAUGUCCUAGGCAAGCAAGAGCCCUGGUUACACGUGAUCAAAAUAAACUAGUAUUAGACUUGCCUAUCGAAAGUAACGAUUAAGUCUACCGCUGAAGUCUGAGUACACUUUUUAUUGUUCCAUAAGGAUUUUGCAGGAAAGAGAGAAGUCAGCUUUCAAAAAGCUAAGCUAAUACGGGGAAAACAAGAAGCAUCUGAAGAUCUUCUCUUCUCUGAAUUCUUUCCUGCUGGAGGUUCCCUCAAGCAAAUAG